GACGAACGCUGGCGGCGUGCUUAACACAUGCAAGUCGAACGGAAAGGCCCUGCUUUUGUGGGGUGCUCGAGUGGCGAACGGGUGAGUAACACGUGAGUAACCUGCCCUUGUCUUUGGGAUAACUUCAGGAAACUGGGGCUAAUACCGGAUAGGAGCUACUGCUGCAUGGUGGGGGUUGGAAAGUUUCGGCGGUUGGGGCUGGACUCGCGGCUUAUCAGCUUGUUGGUGGGGUAGUGGCUUACCAAGGCUUUGAAGGGUAGCCGGCCUGAGAGGGUGACCGGCGACAUGGGGACUGAGAUACGGCCCAGACUCCUACGGGAGGCAGCAGUGGGGAAUAUUGCACAAUGGGCGGAAGCCAGAUGCAGCAACGCCGCGUGCGGGAUGACGGCCUUCGGGUUGUAAACCGCUGUCGCCUGUGACGAAGCGGGAGUGACGGUAAUGGGUAAAGAAGCACCGGCUAACUACGUG
rnacentral:rRNA from 1 species